GAUGAACGCUGGCGGCGUGCCUAAUACAUGCAAGUAGAACGCUGAAGGAGGAGCUUGCUCUUCUGGAUGAGUUGCGAACGGGUGAGUAACGCGUAGGUAACCUGCCUGGUAGCGGGGGAUAACUAUUGGAAACGAUAGCUAAUACCGCAUGACAACAGUUAUUGCAUGAUAACUGUUUAAAAGGGGCAACUGCUCCACUACCAGAUGGACCUGCGUUGUAUUAGCUAGUUGGUGAGGUAACGGCUCACCAAGGCGACGAUACAUAGCCGACCUGAGAGGGUGAUCGGCCACACUGGGACUGAGACACGGCCCAGACUCCCUCGGGAGGCAGCAGUAGGGAAUCUUCGGCAAUGGACGGAAGUCUGACCGAGCAACGCCGCGUGAGUGAAGAAGGUGUUCGGAUCGUAAAGCUCUGUUGUAAGAGAAGAACGAGUGUGAGAGUGGAAAGUUCACACUGUGACGGUAUCUUACCAGAAAGGGACGGCGAACUACGU
rnacentral:rRNA from 1 species